AGAGUUUGAUCCUGGCUCAAGAUGAACGCUAGCGGCAGGCUUAACACAUGCAAGUCGAGGGGCAUCGGGAGGGAAGCUUGCUUUCCUUGCCGGCGACCGGCGCACGGGUGAGUAACACGUAUGCAACCUGCCCUCUUCAGGGGGACAACCUUCCGAAAGGGAGGCUAAUCCCGCGUAUAUCGGUUUCGGGCAUCCGAGAUCGAGGAAAGAUUCAUCGGAAGAGGAUGGGCAUGCGGCGCAUUAGCUAGACGGCGGGGUAACGGCCCACCGUGGCGACGAUGCGUAGGGGUUCUGAGAGGAAGGUCCCCCACACUGGUACUGAGACACGGACCAGACUCCUACGGGAGGCAGCAGUGAGGAAUAUUGGUCAAUGGGAGAGAUCCUGAACCAGCCAAGCCGCGUGAGGGAAGACGGCCCUAUGGGUUGUAAACCUCUUUUGUCAGAGAACAAAACCCGGGACGUGUCCCGGACUGCGUGUAUCCGAAGAAAAAGCAUCGGCUAACUCCGUGCCAGCAGCCGCGGUAAUACGGAGGAUGCGAGCGUUAUCCGGAUUUAUUGGGUUUAAAGGGUGCGUAGGCGGUCCGUUAAGUCAGCGGUAAAAUUGCGGGGCUCAACCCCGUCGAGCCGUUGAAACUGGCAGACUUGAGUUGGCGAGAAGUACGCGGAAUGCGCGGUGUAGCGGUGAAAUGCAUAGAUAUCGCGCAGAACUCCGAUUGCGAAGGCAGCGUACCGGCGCCAGACUGACGCUGAGGCACGAAAGCGUGGGGAUCGAACAGGAUUAGAUACCCUGGUAGUCCACGCAGUAAACGAUGAAUGCUGGUUGUCCGGGUCGAAUGAGAUCUGGGCGGCGAAGCGAAAGCGAUAAGCAUUCCACCUGGGGAGUACGCCGGCAACGGUGAAACUCAAAGGAAUUGACGGGGGCCCGCACAAGCGGAGGAACAUGUGGUUUAAUUCGAUGAUACGCGAGGAACCUUACCCGGGCUCAAACGGGAGUGGAAUGGAUCAGAGACGGUUCAGCCUACGGGCCGCUUCCGAGGUGCUGCAUGGUUGUCGUCAGCUCGUGCCGUGAGGUGUCGGCUUAAGUGCCAUAACGAGCGCAACCCCCGCCGGCAGUUGCUAACGGGCAAUGCCGAGGACUCUGCCGGGACUGCCGCCGCAAGGCGAGAGGAAGGCGGGGAUGACGUCAAAUCAGCACGGCCCUUACGUCCGGGGCGACACACGUGUUACAAUGGGCGGUACAGCGGGAAGCCAGGCGGCGACGCCGAGCGGAACCCGAAAGCCGUUCUCAGUUCGGAUCGGAGUCUGCAACCCGACUCCGUGAAGCUGGAUUCGCUAGUAAUCGCGCAUCAGCCAUGGCGCGGUGAAUACGUUCCCGGGCCUUGCACACACCGCCCGUCA
rnacentral:rRNA from 1 species